rnacentral:guide_RNA from 1 species
AAGAUCCAACAAAAGACAAAACGAAAAUGAGAGUGAUGUGUAUAAU